rnacentral:rRNA from 1 species
GACGAAGGAUGCAAGCGUUAUCCGGAUUCAUUGGGUUUAAAGGGAGCGUAGGUGGCCUUGUAAGUCAGUGGUGAAAUCUGGCAGCUUAACUGCUAAAUUGCCAUUGAUACUGCAGGGCUUGAGUACAGAUGCCGUUGGCGGAAUAUGACAUGUAGUGGUGAAAUACAUAGAGAUGUCAUAGAACACCGAUUGCGAAGGCAGCUGACGAAACUGUAACUGACACUGAGGCUCGAAAGUGUGGGGAUCAAACAGG